GUUUUUUUAAAAAUUGCUCUCUCUCUAUCGAGUUUAUUAUAACAAAAUUUUUAAUUAAUUAAAACUACAAAAAAAUGCUAUUUAAAAUUAAAGUCAGAUCUGUAAUUCCGAUAUUCUGAUUAACGCAAUUUUCUGUUUGACGGGUUUUAAUCGAUACGGGAGCGAAAGCUACUGUAAAAUUAAUGAAUCUAUACAAUAAUUGUUAAGGUUUAUAAAUAAAUACAUCGUCGGAUAAGCUGCGAAGUAGCAAACGGAUGACACACACAGUUUCUAUUACUAACUGGAUAAAUUAUCUACUCUGUUUAUUCUGGACACUGUGGCAGAAUAAUGUUUAAUGUUUCUUAACUUGUGUAUAAAUCGUGUUGACUUAAUGAACUCUUCGAGAUUUGAUGAUGAUUAGUCCUGUAUUCGAACUACAACGCGUAAAAAUGAAAACAGAAAAAUAAAAAAUAAAAAAAUUACGCGAAUAAACAAAGAUGCCCGUAACCUGGAUCUCGCUCGUAUGAAAAGGAAUUUUAUCUUCAGAAAAAAAAAAAAAAAUACAACAAUUAAUUGUAACAAGUGAGCAAACAGAAACAUGCAGUUUAUAGGAAAUUUAUUAUUAGUUUCUUCGUAACUAUAUAAACGCCUUUUAUGAAACGUUAUUUACUCUAAUGGAAAGAAAGAAAGAAAAAAAAAUGCGAAUAGAAGAUAUUUGAUUACGUAGCCGAAUAAAUAUUUGUUAAAAUAACUUUUAAUAACGUUUUUAACGGCGUUAUAAACCAAUCUUUAAACAUUUUCCUUGUAUGGCAGGAUUCUGUUUAUCGUUUCCACCUUCUAACCGACGUUACUGUUUGUCGUAUUUGUUUUACAGUAUGUUUUAUUGCAUUCUAACUUUUCUCUUCCAAUGUUCGAUUGCAUCGUGAUGAGGCCGUUGCAGAGAGUGCAACUCACAUAUAUGUAUACACACACAUACAUACAAACACACACAAAAACUACCUGAACUUUUUUGGAGCUUCGUAAUAUUUUUUUUUUAGUCACGUAUAUAUAUAUGUUGUGUGUCUGUUCUGUAGUCGCAGUCGCAUUGAAUAAGUUGUUUUGAUUAAAAAAUAAUAAUAAUAAAAAUAGGAGAAGAACAGUUUUUCUCAUACCGUAGACUGAAUCUAAUUUUUAACGCAUUACUCAUCAGUUAAAAGUAGAUAGAAGUAGCGGAGAGAUAAUACUGGGAAAACUUUUAAUAUAUUUAAACCGAGUUAUUAUAUUAAUGAAUAAAAAGGUUACCGCAUAUCGUUACGUCUUUUGUUCGACGUUACCGCAUCAGAAUAAAAACAGAAUAUGUACAGUAACGAAAAAAGAGAAAGAAAAAAUAAUAAAAUUACGAACGUCUGUUCUGUUGUUUCUUCGUGCAGUUGCUACAAAACAGAAUAAUUUUCGCUCUUACUGUUUUCCUUUUUGUUUUUUGCAAUUCUGUUUUAUUACGAAACGCACCGACAUUGAAUCUCAU
rnacentral:lncRNA from 1 species